AUACGUAGGGCGCGAGCGUUGUCCGGAAUUAUUGGGCGUAAAGGGCUUGUAGGCGGUUUGUCGCGUCUGCCGUGAAAUUCCCUGGCUUAACUGGGGGCGUGCGGUGGGUACGGGCAGGCUUGAGUGUGGUAGGGGAGAUUGGAAUUCCUGGUGUAGCGGUGGAAUGCGCAGAUAUCAGGAGGAACACCGGUGGCGAAGGCGGAUCUCUGGGCCAUUACUGACGCUGAGGAGCGAAAGCGUGGGGAGCGAACAGGAUUAGAUACCCUGGUAGUCCACGCUGUAAACGUUGGGCACUAGGUGUGGGGGCCGUCCCUGGUUUCUGCGCCGUAGCUAACGCUUUAAGUGCCCCGCCUGGGGAGUACGGCCGCAAGGCUAAA
rnacentral:rRNA from 1 species